rnacentral:lncRNA from 1 species
AGCAAGCAGAGGCAAGAUAUAGGGCAGGCAUGGACUGGAUUACGUGGGGGUUGGUCCACCUAUGAAGAGAGAUGAUCCUCAGGAGUCUAUCUAAAAGAAAAAUCUACAGGGUCCAGCGAGGCCCUGCUGAGCCAUCUGCCCCUGCCCCUCUCCAGCAGAACCUGAGGUCAUCUGGGGACCACUUUCUGCAUCAUUAUCAAAAGCCGAAAUUGUGUGGCCAAUGAUGAGGGAUUGACUUACUGAAAGUGGAUGGACCUUUGGAUACUCCUCAAAUUGCCUCUUCUGCAGCUGUUAGAUCCGUUCCCAAGAUAAAUUCUUUCACAGUUCUCUGUUUCCCAUGAAUAACAAUGGAGACAAUGCAGAAAAAGGAGACCUUAGCCCACUAAAAUUAUUUCCCUUUUCUCCACUAAAUACAGUGUCCUGGUGAAGAGAGGACACUUCUUUUCAUUUUUAGCCCCUAAUAGUGGGAGUGCCUGGAGGAGAACAACAGAAACCUUUGAGGUUGUGAUUCUGAAGCAAAAAAAGCAGAAUUAAUUUCCUUUGGCUUCUCAAGCAGAUUUCUAUGUACACAGUUGUGUUGCAUUUUUGGAAGCUGUGGCUGUACUUUGAGGGUUCCUGAAGGAGAGAAUUACCUGUGCUGUAUCCAGAGUCAAGAGUUCACAUGAGUAUGGAUAUAAACACCAUUCGAAGACUCCACAAGAGAAGCCCUGCCCUGGAAAGAUGUUUAUUUGGUAAUUGAGAAGGGAAGGGGGACUCAUUCUGCAAUUUUUGCUCGGGGGCUCUCCUGUAAAGUUCCACUCUGCAAAGAGCUGUUCAGUUCCGUUGAAUUUCUUCACCAAGUCAACACGAAUGGCAAUGUGGUAAUGAGUGCAGAGACAUUUCUGAUGUGGCAUUUCUUUUCUUGCCUUUGAAUAAAAACACAGUCAGACCUUUGUGUACAAUACGGAUUCUGAAAGGCCAUGGAAGGCAGAGUGGGAGGACCUCUAAGGCAUCCCAGGGGAACAUUGAGCACAAACACAGCAGAGGCCAACUUGCCUCAAGGCUGGGAGACUGAGGGCUUCUCUGUAGCAACCCUGCUCUUCCUACACACUCAACUGAAAGGAACUGGAAGGCAGCCCCUUGGCAUGGACAUGAGGUACCUACUAUGUGACAGACUCUGAGACUACAAAGACAUGUGGCCUCUAGAAUGGGAUAAAAUGACAACCAGGUGGCUUGGGAUCAUCAAUGGUCACCACUGUAGAUUGAACCUGAGCUAAUUCUUGCUGGAAUAGUUGUCAGGAAGACUUUUUCUCUACACCUCCUCUUUCUCCUAACUCAAAUAUAUCUCCCCACUGUUGCGAAAACCACAUUUAAAGGGAAUAUAACUCUGACCCUAUUGCUUCUCAGUUAAAAAUCUCCAAUGGCUUCCUGUUGUCUAUGCUUUCCAAGAGGAUUGCAGUGAAGGGCCAGACUGCUUGAGAUCCUUAGAAAUGUCAGAGGCCUCGACACAACUCUGCUCAGCACACAUAAGCCUGCGUGAUGGUUAGGAGGAAGGAUUCCUGGCCAGCAGAGGUCCUAGGUUCUACAGCACACAAGUUCACGGCUGAAAGAAGGAAAGGAUAAGAUUCUUAUGCAACAUUUGGCAAAACUCUGCUCUUUCUUGGGGCUCAUGUGACAUUUCCCUGGACGAACCUGGUUAAGUUUCCUGCCUGCAUUUCAAAACCUACAA